AUAGAGUAAGUGUUGAGUUUCCAAACUCUGAAGUAACGUAACAACUAAAAACCUUACAACUGAAAAUUCGAGAAGAUUUCGAAGCGAGAUGAGACCGAACGUAGUCUCCGAGGCGGGACUGUCCACCAGAGUAAACCAAUGGUGGGAAGCUAUUCCGUUUCUCACAUCAGUUAUUGUUGCUGUUUGUGGAGCCAUAUAUUUGGUCUGUCUGCUCGUUGGGUAUGACUCCUUUGUCGAAGUCUGUUUCUUGCCUUCAGCCGUUAUUUCCCAUUUUCAAGUUUACAGAGCUUUCACCUCUAUUGUAUUCCAUGGUUCUAUGCUGCAUGUUCUCUUCAAUAUGAUGGCAUUGGUUCCCAUGGGCUCGGAGCUGGAACGAAUUAUGGGAUCCAUCCGCUUGCUCUACAUAAUAAUCCUACUGGCCAUAAGCAGUGCCAUACUUCAUCUUGUCAUCGCAUUAGUAGCAGCUUAUAAUCCAAUUAGCUUUUACCCAGCUCUCAUGCAUCAGUGUUCUAUUGGUUUCUCUGGGAUCUUGUUCUCCAUGAUAGUCAUUGAAACAAGUCUUAGUGGAGUUCAAUCCCGAAGUUUCUUUGGGCUUUUUAAUGUCCCUGCAAAAUGGUAUGUGUGGAUAUUGUUAGUGGUAUUUCAGCUUCUUAUGGCAAAUGUCUCAUUACUUGGACACCUGUGUGGUAUUUUGUCUGGAUAUGCAUAUACUUUUGGGUUUUUCGACAUCUUGAUCCCUGGGGGUUCAUUCUAUUCAUCAAUUGAGGAGUCAUCCUUGCUUUCUGCUUGUGUGAGGAGACCUAAAUUCAUAUUGUCUACUGGCAGCAAUGUGUCUGGCCAUAUCCCCACAUAUACUAGUCAAAACACCGCUGCAAGUGGAUUACUUUCUGGAAAUACGUGGAGGAAUCUGUCUUCUUGGAUGCCACGGAGAGAAAGUUCCGUGGAGACAUCCCAAGGAAGUGAUAGGUUUCCUGGGAGAGGAAGAACUCUUGGUUCCGAGACAAAUCGAGCAGCUUCGGUUGGAAAUUCUGAAUCUAAUUUACAAGCUAGACUUCUGGAUGAUGUUGAUGACCGGGAUCAGCAAACAACUCCAUCAAGAGGCGGGGGAGGUCAGCCGAUGCCGGAUGGGAGGCCCCCAGUAGUGAGUAGUGCAGUGCAGCCUGCUAGAACGCAAAACAAACAGGGCUCUGUUGCUACUGAAGAGGAAAUCCAGAAACUCGUUGCUAUGGGCUUCGAUAGGGUAAAAGAGAUUAAACACAGGUAGAAGUAGCAAUUGCAGCUGCUGAUAGGGAUCUGAACGUUGCAGCUGAAAUCCUUAUGAGCCAACAGGGAUAGUCGAAAAGAAGCAUUCAGUGGAGUAGUACACACAAAAUCCACCCGCAAGAGAAGACUUCUUGACGACGUACUUUAGAAUUUCGAACGCGUUGCAUUGGUGUUGUACAGAAUUCAAACAUCUAACACAAAUACUACCAUAUACUCUACUUUUUUCAUCCUAGCCAAACUUGUAAAAAUCUGUAUUUCCGUGGGACAUCAAGCUUACAGUGGCAGUUCUUUACUGAAAAA